rnacentral:rRNA from 1 species
AGAGUUUGAUCAUGGCUCAGAUUGAACGCUGGCGGCAGGCCCAACACGUGCAAGUCGAACGGUAACAGGAAGCAGCUUGCUGCUUCGCUGACGAGUGGCGGACGGGUGAGUAAUGUCUGGGAAGCUGCCUGAUGGAGGGGGAUAACUACUGGAAACGGUAGCUAAUACCGCAUAAUGUCGCAAGACCAAAGAGGGGGACCUUCGGGCCUCUUGCCAUCGGAUGUGCCCAGAUGGGAUUAGCUUGUUGGUGGGGUAACGGCUCACCAAGGCGACGAUCCCUAGCUGGUCUGAGAGGAUGACCAGCCACACUGGAACUGAGACACGGUCCAGACUCCUACGGGAGGCAGCAGUGGGGAAUAUUGCACAAUGGGCGCAAGCCUGAUGCAGCCAUGCCGCGUGUAUGAAGAAGGCCUUCGGGUUGUAAAGUACUUUCAGCGGGGAGGAAGGGAGUAAAGUUAAUACCUUUGCUCAUUGACGUUACCCGCAGAAGAAGCACCGGCUAACUCCGUGCCAGCAGCCGCGGUAAUACGGAGGGUGCAAGCGUUAAUCGGAAUUACUGGGCGUAAAGCGCACGCAGGCGGUUUGUUAAGUCAGAUGUGAAAUCCCCGGGCUCAACCUGGGAACUGCAUCUGAUACUGGCAAGCUUGAGUCUCGUAGAGGGGGGUAGAAUUCCAGGUGUAGCGGUGAAAUGCGUAGAGAUCUGGAGGAAUACCGGUGGCGAAGGCGGCCCCCUGGACGAAGACUGACGCUCAGGUGCGAAAGCGUGGGGAGCAAACAGGAUUAGAUACCCUGGUAGUCCACGCCGUAAACGAUGUCGACUUGGAGGUUGUGCCCUUGAGGCGUGGCUUCCGGAGCUAACGCGUUAAGUCGACCGCCUGGGGAGUACGGCCGCAAGGUUAAAACCCAAAUGAAUUGACGGGGGCCCGCACAAGCGGUGGAGCAUGUGGUUUAAUUCGAUGCAACGCGAAGAACCUUACCUGGUCUUGACAUCCACGGAAGUUUUCAGAGAUGAGAAUGUGCCUUCGGGAACCGUGAGACAGGUGCUGCAUGGCUGUCGUCAGCUCGUGUUGUGAAAUGUUGGGUUAAGUCCCGCAACGAGCGCAACCCUUAUCCUUUGUUGCCAGCGGUCCGGCCGGGAACUCAAAGGAGACUGCCAGUGAUAAACUGGAGGAAGGUGGGGAUGACGUCAAGUCAUCAUGGCCCUUACGACCAGGGCUACACACGUGCUACAAUGGCGCAUACAAAGAGAAGCGACCUCGCGAGAGCAAGCGGACCUCAUAAAGUGCGUCGUAGUCCGGAUUGGAGUCUGCAACUCGACUCCAUGAAGUCGGAAUCGCUAGUAAUCGUGGAUCAGAAUGCCACGGUGAAUACGUUCCCGGGCCUUGUACACACCGCCCGUCACACCAUGGGAGUGGGUUGCAAAAGAAGUAGGUAGCUUAACCUUCGGGAGGGCGCUUACCACUUUGUGAUUCAUGACUGGGGUGAAGGCGGAACAAGGUA